rnacentral:rRNA from 1 species
UACGGGGGGAGCAAGCGUUGUUCGGAUUUACUGGGCGUAAAGGGCGCGUAGGCGGCGCGGUAAGUCACUUGUGAAAUCUCUGAGCUUAACUCAGAACGGCCAAGUGAUACUGCAGUGCUAGAGUGCAGAAGGGGCAAUCGGAAUUCUUGGUGUAGCGGUGAAAUGCGUAGAUAUCAAGAGGAACACCUGAGGUGAAGACGGGUUGCUGGGCUGACACUGACGCUGAGUGCGCGAAAGCCAGGGGAGCAAACGGG